rnacentral:rRNA from 1 species
CUACGGGCGGCAGCAGUGAGGAAUUUUGCGCAAUGGGGGAAACCCUGACGCAGCAACGCCGCGUGAGCGAAGAAGGCCCUCGGGUCGUAAAGCUCUGUCAAGUGGGAAAAAAAUCUUUUGAUCAAUAGUCAAAAGACUUGAUGGUACCACUGGAGGAAGCACCGGCUAACUCCGUGCCAGCAGCCGCGGUGAAUACGGAGGGUGCAAGCGUUGUUCGGAUUUACUGGGCGUAAAGAGCGUGUAGGCGGUUUAGCAAGUCAGAUGUGAAAGCCCUGGGCUCAACCCGGGAAGUGCAUUUGAAACUGCUUCACUAGAGUAUGGGAGAGGAGAUUGGAAUUCCUGGUGUAGAGGUGAAAUUCGUAGAUAUCAGGAGGAACACCCGUGGCGAAGGCGAUUCUCUGGACCAAUACUGACGCUGAGACGCGAAAGCGUGGGGAGCAAACAGGAUUAGAUACCCCUGUAGUC